UACGUAGGUGGCAAGCGUUGUCCGGAAUUAUUGGGCGUAAAGCGCGCGCAGGCGGCCUCCUAAGUCCGAUGUGAAAGCCCACGGCUCAACCGUUGAAAGCCGGUGGAUACUGUCGGGCUAGAGUUCGGAAGAGGCAAGUGGAAUUCCUGGUGUAGCGGUGGACUGCGCAGAUAUCAGGAGGAACACCUAUAGCGAAGGCAGCUUGCUGGGACGAAACUGACGCUAAGGCUCGAAAGCGUGGGGAGCGAACAGG
rnacentral:rRNA from 1 species